GAACGCGAAGAACCUUACCAGGUCUUGACAUCCCGAUGCUAUUUCUAGAGAUAGAAAGUUACUUCGGUACAUCGGUGACAGGUGGUGCAUGGUUGUCGUCAGCUCGUGUCGUGAGAUGUUGGGUUAAGUCCCGCAACGAGCGCAACCCCUAUUGUUAGUUGCCAUCAUUAAGUUGGGCACUCUAAAGAGACUGCCGGUGACAAACCGGAGGAAGGUGGGGAUGACGUCAAGUCAUCAUGCCCCUUAUGACCUGGGCUACACACGUGCUACAAUGGGCAGUACAACGAGAAGCGAACCCGCGAGGGUAAGCGGAUCUCUUAAAGCUGUUCUCAGUUCGGACUGCAGGCUGCAACUCGCCUGCACGAAGCUGGAAUCGCUAGUAAUCGCGGAUCAGCACGCCGCGGUGAAUACGUUCCCGGGUCUUGUACACACC
rnacentral:rRNA from 1 species